UUGAACCUCUUCGUUCGUUUGUUCUGCAAAGAGUUGUUUUUUCGUUAUUAUAUUAUCCGUCCCGUUGGUUCGUUGCGCGCCCCUUUCACAGCUUCGUUAUUCCUCUACGUUUUCCUCACACGAUGACGUGCAACGAGAAGAAGCUGCGAGCGGAAUGUAUGUUCAUGCGGAAGUCUAGCGUGAUCGUUCAUGGUUUUGGGACUCAGGGGUACCGAUCAGAUUUGAACGUUCGGCAAACGCAUCGGAAUGAAGAAGAAAAGGAAGUGUUAACGACUCAUGGCACGAGCUAACGCACGGAGGUUAUGUUUACCGCGCAAUCAGGUGGCAACGCUAAAGAGGAAGAAGUUACUCGCACCUCCUUGAUAACAAGCAAAGCUGCUAUGCUCAUGUUAUAUUCCACCACGGCGACAACUUUCUGUCUUUCAACGUUUUCUUGCUUAAUAUUGUAUAAGAUAUAAGUGCCUUAUGCGAAUCAAAUUUCUUUUUCUAAUAGAAGCAUUAUUUCAAAUGUUUUAUAUCGUUAAGGACAAUACAAUUUAUGAAAAUCAAAAUCUUUAUAGAUGUAAAGAAUAUUGCUGAUAAAAUGUAAAACUCUUAGGGUUUUAGGUGCUACAAGGAAGUGAUUUAAAUGACGGAUAACGACAAAAGGCGCGCGCUAUGAAGAGAGCUAUCCAUCGACAGUAUGGUGAUAAUAGACACUGUCAUGGAGUUGCUCUCUUUGUGGACGCAGCUAUGUUCAACGAUUAUCAACGAUAAAAGUGGAACAAAUAUACGAUUAAAGAAAUUUAUUUACUUAUGUAAAUUUAAUCGCUUAUUGUCAACGUAUUAUGGAUAUUCUCUAUACAGUAUGAAAUCUCUUUCUCGAUUAUUUCUUGCGAUAAACAGAAAUUAAUGUUUUUUUAUCAUUAAGAACGAUGUAAACUGUACAUAAUACAAUUUUUAAUUACCUUUUA